UACGAGGGGGCGAGCGUUGUUCGGAAUUAUUGGGCGUAAAGGGUGCGUAGGCGGUUUGGUAAGUCUUGUGUGAAAUCUCCAGGCUCAACUUGGAGUCUGCACGAGAAACUGCCGGGCUUGAGUGUGGGAGAGGUGAGUGGAAAUUCCUGGUGUAGCGGUGAAAUGCGUAGAUAUCAGGAGGAACACCUGUGGCGAAAGCACUCUGCUGGGCCGACACUGACACUGAGAGACGAAAGCUAGGGGAGCGAAUGGG
rnacentral:rRNA from 1 species